rnacentral:rRNA from 1 species
UACGGAGGGUGCGAGCGUUGUCCGGAAUCAUUGGGUACGGUAAAGGGCGCGUGAGGUGGCGGGACAAGCGUGAUCGGUGAAAGCUCGGGGCUCAACCCCGAGUCGGCCGUGCGAACUGGUUUGCUGGAGCACUGUAGAGGCAGGACGGAAUUCCGGGUGUAGCGGUGGAAUGCGUAGAGAUCCGGAAGAACACCGGUGGCGAAGGCGGCCGCUGGGCGAGUUGCUGACAACUGAGGCGCGACAGCGUGGGGAGCCAAACAAGGGAUUGAGA